CACAGAGAGGCCCACCCCGCUGAGGAACCAGCAACCACGGCGACUCUGGGAAAGAAGGCAUCAGACCAGCAGGGAACGAGACUUGUCCACAGGCUGCCGCUCCGGUGUUCCCGCUGUCCCCAACUGCCUUCCCUCGCCAGUAUCUGUGAGGUCACGGCGGACCCGCCACCCUUCAGACCUACGUUCCGGCUCUCACAGACACUUCCGGUCCUAAAGGAAGGACCACCUCCUCCUCUGAUGUCCGUCUCCUCUGCCCCCCAAGUCUCAAGUGGACCUCCAGCUUCCUCUGCCGGCUUCUCCAUCCCCAGAAGACAUGCACGCUGUGCCCCUCCUCCUGCGUCUCCCCGGCAACCCCGCCCCUGGGCUGCUACUGUCGUGGCUCAGAGCCCCUUGCAAGGCCCGCACUGUCCCCAGGUCCCACCCCAGUCUCUCAGUAGGCCACCUGCUUCCACACGCCAUCUCUGCCUGAAGCCCCCAUGUCUCCGGUGAGAACUCGAGAUCCUGCGUCCCCGGCCACGGUCACAUGCGUCCCCGGCCACGGUCACAGCCACUCAGAACCCCAUCUGCACCUUGCUGCUCCCAUGUUCAUAUUAACACGUGUGCUCCCUUCCCUGGCGUCCUGAGCCGCAGCCGUUCUGGGCAUGAUGCUUGGCGUGGACUAGGGUUGACCGAGCAAGGCCAGACGGUGGGUGCUUUAGGGUUUGUGCUGUGCCUGGCUGUCGACAGAGAGACAGAGUUCCCUUCCGUCUAGCUCGGAGCUCAGAUACAGUGUCAAAGUCAGUGCUUUUAACCCCGGAGCAUAAACAAAAUCUUUGCUGUUUCCCA